GCCGCCUGAAGGGAUGACGGCCUUCGGGUGUAAACCUCUUUUAGCAGGGAAGAAGCGAGAGUGACGGUACCUGCAGAAAAAGCGCCGGCUAACUACGUGCCAGCAGCCGCGGUAAUACGUAGGGCGCAAGCGUUAUCCGGAAUUAUUGGGCGUAAAGAGCUCGUAGGCGGUCUGUCGCGUCUGCUGUGAAAACCCGAGGCUCAACCUCGGGCCUGCAGUGGGUACGGGCAGACUAGAGUGCGGUAGGGGAGAUUGGAAUUCCUGGUGUAGCGGUGGAAUGCGCAGAUAUCAGGAGGAACACCGAUGGCGAAGGCAGAUCUCUGGGCCGUAACUGACGCUGAGGAGCGAAAGGGUGGGGAGCAAACAGGCUUAGAUACCCUGGUAGUCCACCCCGUAAACGUUGGGAACUAGUUGUGGGGGCCUUUCCACGGUCUCCGUGACGCAGCUAACGCAUUAAGUUCCCCGCCUGGGGAGUACGGCCGCAAGGCUAAAACUCAAAGGAAUUGACGGGGACCCGCACAAGCGGCGGAGCAUGCGGAUUAAUUCGAUGCAACGCGAAGAACCUUACCAAGGCUUGACAUAUAGAGGAAAGAUCUGGAAACAGUUCCCCCGCAAGGUCUCUAUACAGGUGGUGCAUGGUUGUCGUCAGCUCGUGUCGUGAGAUGUUGGGUUAAGUCCCGCAACGAGCGCAACCCUCGUUCUAUGUUGCCAGCACGUAAUGGUGGGAACUCAUGGGAUACUGCCGGGGUCAACUCGGAGGAAGGUGGGGAUGACGUCAAAUCAUCAUGCCCCUUAUGUCUUGGGCUUCACGCAUGCUACAAUGGCCGGUACAAAGGGCUGCAAUACCGUGAGGUGGAGCGAAUCCCAAAAAGCCGGUCCCAGUUCGGAUUGAGGUCUGCAACUCGACCUCAUGAAGUCGGAGUCGCUAGUAAUCGCAGAUCAGCAACGCUGCGGUGAAUACGUUCCCGGGUCUUGUACACACCGCCCGUCAAGUCAUGAAAGUCGGUAACACCUGAAGCCGGUGGCCUAACCCUUGUGGAGGUAGCCGUCG
rnacentral:rRNA from 1 species